rnacentral:lncRNA from 1 species
AGAGGCUCCGUCAAAUAUUUGGCCUCCAAUUAAAUAAUAAUAAUAAUAAUAAAAAAAAUUGAAAUUAAAAAAUAAAAAAUAACAGGUGUUGGAAUGAAUUUACAGAACGCGUUUCGAUGGGGGGAAAAAAAAUUAAAAAAAAAUAAAAAAGGAAAAAACAAAAACACGGAAGCAACACGAAAAAAAACCCAGAGAAAGGAAAAGAGGCGAAAUAAACGCAAGCGAGAUCAGACGUGCAGCGCCCACAUCGCACCCCGCACCUCCCGCCAGCGCCGCCGUUUCCUCCGGCCGCUCCCGCUGACAGCGCGCCCGGCCCCGCCUUCCAACGCCCCUCCGACAGCGGCGGUUGACGGUCAGCUCGAGCAGCCAACACGAGAGCGAGCUGCCGUCGGGAGCCGUAGGGGAGAAGAAUACGUAAGUCUGUCUUUCUCACCUUGA